rnacentral:misc_RNA from 1 species
CGCAGCCGCGGUAAUUCCAGCUCCAAUAGCGUAUAUUAAAGUUGUUGCAGUUAAAAAGCUCGUAGUUGAAUUUCGGGGUUAGCAGGUCGGUCGUGCCAUUGGUAUGAACUGGUCUCGCUGAUCCCUCCCUCUUGACGAACUGUGAUGCCAUUAAUUUGGUGUCGCAGGGAAUCAGGACUGUUACUUUGAAAAAUUAGAGUGUUUAAAGCAGGCUCACGCUUGAAUACAUUAGCAUGGAAUAAUGAAAUAGGACGUUUGAUCCUAUUUUGUUGGCUUCUAGGAUUGACGUAAUGAUUAAUAGGGAUAGUUGGGGGCAUUAGUAUUCAAUUGUCAGAGGUGAAAUUCUUGGAUUUAUUGAAGACUAACUACUGCGAAAGCAUUUGCCAAGGAUGUUUUCAUUAAUCAAGAACGAAAGUUAGGGGAUCGAAGACGAUCAGAUACCGUCGUAGUCUUAACCAUAAACUAUGCCGACUAGGGAUCGGAUGAUGUUAAUUUUUAAUGACUCAUUC